rnacentral:piRNA from 1 species
UCCGUUCAUGGUGCAAAAGGGUAUGUAGU